rnacentral:rRNA from 1 species
CCUACGGGGGGCAGCAGUGAGGAAUAUUGGUCAAUGGGCGAAAGCCUGACGCAGCGACGCCGCGUGAGGGAUGAAGGUCUUCGGAUCGUAAACCUCCGUCAGCAGGGAAGAACGGUCACUGUGCUAAUCAGCAGUGAAUUGACGGUACCUGCAAAGGAAGCACCGGCUAACUCCGUGCCAGCAGCCGCGGUAAUACGGAGGGUGCGAGCGUUAAUUGGAAUUACUGGGCGUAAAGCGCUCGUAGGCGGUAUGUCAAGUCAAGGGUGAAUUCCCCGCGCUCAACGUGGGAACUGCCUUUGAAACUGGCAGACUGGAGUGUGUGAGAGGAUAGUGGAAUUCCAGGUGUAGGAGUGAAAUCCGUAGAUAUCUGGAGGAACAUCAGUGGCGAAGGCGACUAUCUGGCACAUAACUGACGCUGAGGAGCGAAAGCGUGGGUAGCAAACAGGAUUAGAUACCCCAGUAGUC